rnacentral:rRNA from 1 species
UACGUAGGGGGCGAGCGUUGUCCGGAAUCAUUGGGCGUAAAGAGCGUGUAGGCGGCUUGGCAAGUCUGACGUGAAAUCCCGCGGCUCAACCGCGGUAGGUCGUUGGAAACUGCCUCGCUAGAGUCCGGAAGAGGAGAGCGGAAUUCCUGGUGUAGCGGUGGAAUGCGCAGAUAUCAGGAGGAACACCGGUGGCGAAGGCGGUUCUCUGGGCCUUACCUGACGCUGAGGAGCGAAAGCGUGGGGAGCAAACAGG